CUCUUUCUCAAAGCUCUAGCUCCGUUCAGUCCUUCGGGAGUGGUGACCCUAGACUCCUAUCACUAGGAGCGCCUUCUGGAGCAAAAGGAGGCUCUACUUGGAUCUGGAAGUCCUGUAGCUGAGGACAAUCCCCAUUUAGUCCUCAGCGAGUUUUUGAGCAGUUAUUUUUGGACAGCUUGUUCUGUUUUUUGGCAUGGGGAGGGGGAGUCUUUAGGACCGACGCAUUCCGUGUCCUGUUCAGUAGUCUGUGUCCCAGAUAGAAGAGCAAUGGCUGGGAUGAUAAAAAGCAUCGUCUCCCUAAUCACAAGUAACCUGCUUUGGACAGUAGCAGGCUGCCACCAGCCAGUCCUUCUGAGAGAAGACUAAAGUUUCCUCCUCGCUUGUGGUCAUCUUGCCUUCAGUUGAUUCUCAAGGUGUCUAUGGCUUCACCUCAUUGGCAUGCUGCCAGGACAACCAGGGAGUGGGUUGGAGCGAGUGGGUGCUGUUUCUGCAUCCCAGGAAUAUUGGGCCACAUCUGCGGCAUGUGGAUCAUUAUCCAUAUUCAAGGUGACCUGACUCACACCUGGGUGCUGUACAUGCUUCAGCAGCCUGCCUCUCCGGCACUUCAGAUAAGUUUUCCCUCCUCCUUCAUCAUGGAAAAGAGGAGUCCACGGCUCCCCUUAGUGAUUCCAAGCAAAGCCAGGGUGGGGGGGGAUGCCCUGAGAGACACCAAAUUCUCAUCAGUUCCACUCUCUUCUCCUUAGUAGCCUCUUGGGUAGUUCAUUUUUACUGGCAAUAAAUAUGUACAACCAUGAAACAUGUCAAGUGGUCCUUGGGUUCUAAAGAUGACAGAAGCCCAGACUGUGGCCAAAGAAUGGCAGAGUGGAGUUCCCACUGUGGCACAAAGGGAUAAGCAGCAUCUUUGCAGCUCCAGGACAUAGUUUUGAUCCCCAGCCAGGCCCAGUGGCUUAGAAGGAUCUGGCAUUGCCACAGCUGUGGCAUAGGUCACAACUGUGUCUCCAGUCUGAUACCUGAACUCCAUAUACUGCAGGGCAGCCAAAAAAGAAAAGGAAAAAAAAAAAAAGAAUGGCAGAGCAAGCACACCCAGAGUCCAGGAAGACUUCCUGUGCUCGGAGUCUGGAGUCACACUCCCAGUAGAUGCCACUUUAUCUCAAAUCAGAGUUUUUCUGCUCCCCAAGAUGGACUGUUUGUUGGCUUGGGUUUGCAUUUAACUUUCUGCUCAAGCCUAAGGAGACUCAACUGCAACCUUAGAUGCCUCCAAAAAUUUUUAGUCCAGAGCUCAAGCUGCCCUGAGUGCCAUACUCUUUGCUCUGUAUUCAAGGCCCUCUAUGACCCAACCCUAAGGUAC
rnacentral:lncRNA from 9 species